rnacentral:rRNA from 1 species
GAUGAACGCUGGCGGCGUGCCUAAUACAUGCCAGUAGAACGCUGAAGGAGGAGCUUGCUCUUCUGGAUGAGUUGCGAACGGGUGAGUAACGCGUAGGUAACCUGCCUGGUAGCGGGGGAUAACUAUUGGAAACGAUAGCUAAUACCGCAUGACAACAGUUAUUGCAUGAUAACUGUUUAAAAGGGGCAACUGCUCCACUACCAGAUGGACCUGCGUUGUAUUAGCUAGUUGGUGAGGUAACGGCUCACCAAGGCGACGAUACAUAGCCGACCUGAGAGGGGGAUCGGCCACACUGGGACUGAGACACGGCCCAGACUCCUACGGGAGGCAGCAGGAGGGAAUCUUCGGCAAUGGACGGAAGUCUGACCGAGCAACGCCGCGUGAGUGAAGAAUGUUUUCGGAUCGUAAAGCUCUGUUGUAAGAGAAGAACGAGUGUGAGAGUGGAAAGUUCACACUGUGACGGUAUCUUACCAGAAAGGGACGGCUAACUACGUG